rnacentral:tRNA from 1 species
GAAUUUAAAGUUAACAGACUAAGAGCCUUCAAAGCCUAAAGGAGAGGUUAAAAACUUCUAAUUUCUG